rnacentral:rRNA from 1 species
CCUACGGGAGGCAGCAGUGAGGAAUAUUGGUCAAUGGCCGUAAGGCUGAACCAGCCACGUCGCGUGAAGGAAGAAGGAUCUAUGGUUUGUAAACUUCUUUUAUAGGGGAAUAAAGGUAUCCACGUGUGGAUAAUUGCAUGUACCCUAUGAUUAAGCCUCGGCUAACUCCGUGUCAGCAGCCGCGGUAAUACGGAGGAUGCGAGCGUUAUCCGGAUUUAUUGGGUUUAAAGGGUGCGUAGGUUGUUUUUUAAGUCAGCGGUGAAAGUUUGGGGCUCAACCAUAAAAUUGCUGUUGAAACUGUAAGACUAGAGUGUGGUUGAGGUAGGCGGAAUGCGUGGUGUAGCGGUGAAAUGCAUAGAUAUCACGCAGAACUCCGAUGGCGAAGGCAGCUUACUAAGCCAUAACUGACACUGAAGCACGAAAGCGUGGGGAGCAAACAGGAUUAGAUACCCGGGUAGUC